GCGGGAUGGCGCCGGCUGAGCCGACCGCGCUCAGUUCAAAAGAAGACAAACAACAAGAGAGUGAAAGUUCGUUGUCUCGUCCCCCUCCCCCGUAUCCACACCCCUCAGGCGGAACGUUGCUGGUUCAAUAUACGUUAUGGGAGACGGACUGGGUGGCCGAGUUGGGGGGCCGUGCCGGGGCGACAGGGGUCGGCCCGCGCCGCUCCCUGCAUGGGACCGGAAUACAGCGGCUUUCAGGGAAGGCCGUGGGAGUGGCUUCGCCCCAGGGCCAGCUAGCGAGACUAAGGUCAGGGGAGCUAAUAGCAGCCACAGAUGCAGUGGUGGAAGCGUUUAAUAAACUUGUGCAUAAGGCCGAACCACCUACUCCGUGCACAGAUAUUACCCAGGGCCCGAAUGAAUCCUUUCAAAGCUUUACAGACAGGCUUUUAGCUGCUGCAGAGGGGUCUGAUCUCCUGGUACCGGCCCAAGGGCCAGUGAUCAUUGACUGCUUGCAGCAGAAAUCGCAUGACAAUGUUAAGGCAUUGCUGCGAGCCGGCCGAAGUACGCUUAAUACCUCGGGAGAAGUUAUUCAGUAUGUCUUAGAUAAGCUCAAGGUGGCUCAUUUAACUAAUGAAAGGCUAGUCACAGCUAUUGUCGUAGCUGUUGGCCUGCGACAGCAAAGAUCGCUGCAGCAGCAAGGGCUGUGUUUCCGAUACGGCCAGUAUGGCCAUGUUAGAGCACAAUGCCCCUGUGGGGGAGGCCAGUCAGGGCCUCCUGAUCACAGGAAGGGCUUGCUAAAGGGUAUCCGUGGUCGGGUAUGCGGCAGUUAAAUAUCAUGAAUCUGGGAAAUUCUGUGGGUACCAUCGCGAAAAGUAAUACCAGAUAUAAGUAGAAUAUCUGCAAAAACUGAGUCUAGGUGCGAGUUUUCUACAG
rnacentral:lncRNA from 1 species